rnacentral:rRNA from 1 species
UACGAGGGGGGGCGAGCGUUGUUCGGAAUUAUUGGGCGUAAAGCGCGCGCAGGGCGGUUGCCUAAGUCUGCUGUGAAAUCUCCCGGCUCAACUGGGAGGGGGCGGCGGAGACUGGGUGACUGGAGGGACCUAGAGGCCGGUGGAAUUCCCGUGAGUGGGUGAAAUGCGUAGAGAUCAGGAGGAACACCGGUGGUGUAGACGGCUUCUGGACCAUAACUGACGCUGAGACACGAAAGCGUGGGUAGCAAACAGG